GAUGAACGCUGGCGGCGUGCUUAACACAUGCAAGUCGAACUAAGCAUUUAAGACAGAUUACUUCGGUUUGAAGUCUUUUAUGACUGAGUGGCGGACGGGUGAGUAACGCGUGGGUAACCUGCCUCAUACAGGGGGAUAGCAGCUGGAAACGGCUGGUAAUACCGCAUAAGCGCACAGUACCACAUGGUACAGUGUGAAAAACUCCGGUGGUAUGAGAUGGACCCGCGUCUGAUUAGCUUGUUGGCGUGGUAACGGCCCACCAAGGCGACGAUCAGUAGCCGAGCUGAGAGGGUGGCCGGCCACAUUGGGACUGAGACACGGCCCAGAAUCCUACGGGAGGCAGCAGUGGGGAAUAUUGCAAAAUGGAGGAAGCUCAGAUGCAGCGACGCUGCGUGAGUGAAGAAGUAGUUCGCGAAGUAAAGCUCUAUCAGCAGGGAAGAUAGUGACGGUACCUGACUAAGAAGCUCCGGCUAAAUACGUG
rnacentral:rRNA from 1 species